UUAAGGUCCUGAUAGGAUUCAUUUUAUGAAGAUGCCUUGUAACCGAAUAGCUAUAUGUCUAUAUAGGGGGACUAUUA
rnacentral:sRNA from 1 species